UACGGGGGGGGCAAGCGUUGUUCGGAAUUACUGGGCGUAAAGGGCUCGUAGGCGGCCAACUAAGUCAUACGUGAAAUCCCUCGGCUUAACCGGGGAACUGCGUCUGAUACUGGAUGGCUUGAGUUCGGGAGAGGGAUGCGGAAUUCCAGGUGUAGCGGUGAAAUGCGUAGAUAUCUGGAGGAACACCGGUGGCGAAGGCGGCAUCCUGGACCGAGACUGACGCUGAGGAGCGAAAGCCAGGGGAGCAAACGGG
rnacentral:rRNA from 1 species